rnacentral:misc_RNA from 1 species
AAAUGCGAUAAUUAAUGUGAAUUGCAGAAUUCAGUGAAUCAUCGAGUCUUUGAACGCACAUUGCACCCCCUGGUAUUCCGGGGGGCAUGCCUGUCCGAGCGUCAUUGCUGCCCUCAAGCACGGCUUGUGUGUUGGGCUUCCGUCCCUGGCAACGGGGACGGGCCCAAAAGGCAGUGGCGGCACCAUGUCUGGUCCUCGAGCGUAUGGGGCUUUGUCACCCGCUCCCGUAGGUCCAGCUGGCAGCUAGCCUCGCAACCAAUCUUUUUAACCAGGUUGACCUCGGAUCAGGUAGGGAUACCCGCUGAACUUAAGC